AUGUUUUUAAAAAGUGUAUUUUCAUGUAUGCCUAUAUUGGCUGUUCCUUGUGUGUUUCUGCAUGGCAGGUCUGAUGAAAUCAGUUGUACAUUUCCAUGCAUUGGGAUCCUGUUCAAUGUAUCAGCAAAACACUAUAUGGGUAGUAGAGCAGCAAAAUGUUUUAAGGAAAAUCAAAACAAAAGAUUUCUUGUGAAUGCUGCAGAAUGCUUGAAAUUUAAUUUGAAUGUCAAUUUUUUAUGUCCUGGCACAUUUGUUUGGCUGCGGAGAUGGCAGUUUGUCUUAUUAUUUUCAUCCUCAGAGCUGGAGAAAAGGGUUCCAUCUUGAGCCCCAGAAACUGAACUGAUUGAUGAAGUUAUGGAGAUUUGUACCAAACUCAAUGGGAUUUUACAUUAAGAACCUUCUGAACACUAAUUAUUCCCAGUAAAUUUAUAUUUCUUUUUCAGAUCAAAUGCAUCCGUUAAGUUUCUCUCUCUCUCUCUCUCUCUCUCUGUAUUAUUAUUCUUGCUAUUAUUAUUUUGAUUUCUGUUAACAGAAGUUUUUGGCAUUGAAAUGCGAACUCCAUUAGUAGUUUUAGAGCAUAGCAGAAUGCAAGGGUUAUAAAUAUUAGCAUAUUUAUUCAAUCAAUAUUUUAGGCUGCUUUGUGGUAUUGUAGUGUAUGAGUGAUUGUAUAUAUGUAAAAAAUAAUUGAGACAGAUUUUGAAACCCAUGGUGUUAGCCUUUGCUCCUGGCUUUGACCAAACCUUUGACCAACAAAUGUACAAGAACCCACCAGAUAAAAUUUGAAAGUUUGCAGAAAUGGUCUUUGUGUCAUUUGUACUUUGCUCAUGUCCUGUUUGGCUUUUUGAUUUACUUUGACCCUGUUGGUCUUUCAAAUUUAACAAAUUCCAACCAUAUGAACUAAAGUGAGGCCAUGCAGAAUUAAUGCUGACCACUAGAGGGAAAUGUUGAUUAUGAAUAUAGAUGUCUCUUCAGUUUUAGGGCAUGUGCUCCAGUAAUCUAAAUAAAUAUUUACACCACUAGAUGAUAAAUGAAAGCUAAUACAACACAUUGUUAACCUUCACACAAUUGAUGUGAAAUGUAAAUGUAACAUUGACUGGAUAGAUAAAGAAUAUUUUCCCUCAAAUAUAAAAUGAUUUCUAACAAAAACAUUUAACUUUAAAACUUGGAUUCAAUUAAAUUUGUAUUUUGUAUAUGUUAUAGCUUGAUGAAUAAAGCCGAUAGAGGGCAAUAUAUAUAUAUUUUUUAAAAUAAAUACCGUUUUAUAAUUACAAUGCCAAACGGCAUUAACGUUACCUUUGACAUUAAUAAAUCCGCGGCUUCUAUCAGCGACGACCGUUGCAAUUCAAACUGUAUUUGCGCGACCUGUUUUAACCCAGCGUGCAGUAGUUUAUUAAUUUUUUCUUAAAUUAUGAAACUGUUAUAAUCUUCUUUCUGAAUAACAAGAUGCAACCUAUUAAUACAGCAAAGGUGAGAGUUGCGCGCGUGAGGGGGUGUGGCCACGCUAAUCCAUUAAAGUGCUCGUGCUGCCAAAUCGAUGGCGUUUGACAUGCGGAGUGUGUGUUGAUUUCCCCAGCAAUGGACGUCAGUUAAUUAAUAUAUCAUCAGCACUAAACCUGAUAUUAUUUAUUUACCGGUACGUACAUCCAGAAAGUUCUUACAUUUUCUGUCACUUUCUGUUGCUUUUCUCAUAAUUUCACGAUAAUCGGUGAUGUUUGACUGUUUUACUGGCUAACUGCCUUGUCAAAUAUGUUGCCCAUAAUUUUACACAAUUUCUGAGUUAACUUAUUUGUUUACAAAAGAAAUAAUGUAGUGAUGUCUAUCACUGUAUUUGUUUGAUCGGCCUCUUUUGUAAACACGUGGA
ensembl:lncRNA